CAGUGUGGGUUUCACACCUAGAUACCCAAUUAGCAAUUAAGCCUGCCUUUGAGUGCAGGCCUAGACUGUGGUGUGUGAUCCUGCCCUGAUUUGCAUGCAGUUCGUUUGUGCACAGGCUGAUAAGCGCAGGCAGCUGUACAUAGUUUUAAAAUUCAACUCCAGAAUCCCUCUCGCAGAAGGCAGAGGGGCCCGCGGGGCGAACAGAGAGGGAGAAAUCACACGGCUGCUCUUCAAAAGGGAAACCUGUGUACAGCAGCCGGCAAAGUGCGUGGGAUCAUACUCAGAAUGCAGGUUGACUACUCCUCCUUUCAAACAGCAGAAGAACACUUCAACUCUUACAGUACACAUCUAAACAGCACAGACCAGGACACCCAGGUGACAGAGAGGGGGAAAGAAAGUGAUGGAGAGAAAGAGGGAGAGAAGAAGAGUGUGUCGCAUUCCUUCCUGUUCCUGUACCACCCUCCAACCCCAGAGCUGCAGACUCAAGGCGGUUUCCAGAAUCAAACAAUUUCACGCAGCUACUGGAGGAGGAAAUGAACUGAGCCCAGAGCAAUAAUACAAUUAUACAAAUGUUAUUACAGACUCGCCUGCUACUGUCCUACUUUAAUUCAAAUUUGGGAACUCCAGGCAGCGCUGGUGGCAGAGACCUUCCUGAAUAAAUCAACAUUAGCUUACUUCUAAAUUAUUAAGGAAGUGGGAGACUUUCUUGUUUAUAGUAUGAAUUAUGAAACAAGUGUUUUACGCUGUUUUUCUUCAUGAAUCCCCAAAUAUUAAUUGCUAAUGAUCUUUAAGGUGUGUGUUUUAUCUCUGUGCCCCCCUAAGUUGUAUCGGCUGCUGAGAGGCAUUUUGCAUCAGAAGCUUUAAGUUUUGAAGAUUCUACAUACAGUAAAUGUGAGGAAUGUUAGAUUAGGAAAUUAAUUAAAGAUAAUGCCUUUCCUUUUUGUAUAAUAUGCAUGAUGUGCUUUAUUGGUUCUGUAUAGCACAAAUAAACCUCUUUCAGUUUGGUGUACUGUAGGACAAAUAUGUUUUGGUGCAUUUUCAAUUUGUUAAAUUUUUCAGCCGUUGUUGAAUGUUAUUUAACAAUGCCUAUCAGCCUUAUAAACAAAUAAUGUUGAUAAAAGCCUUGUCCAGGC